AUCCAGUUGACGAGUCCCACGUAGGACGAAACGUGCGUCAUGGAU
rfam:Schistosoma rodhaini strain Burundi genome assembly, scaffold: SROB_scaffold0006395